rnacentral:ncRNA from 1 species
GAGAGGACGACCUCUCCUGAACCGCACACGGGACGGCCCG